rnacentral:rRNA from 1 species
UGGAUUAGGCAUGCAAGUCGAACGCGAAAGGGGCUUCGGCCCCGAGUAAGUGGCGAACGGGUGAGUAACGCGUGGGGAAUCUGCCCUAGAGCGGGGAAUAACACUCCCGACGGGGUGCUAAUACCGCAUAACAUCGCUGGAUGGCAUCAUUCGGCGAUCAAAGGUGGGGAUCGCAAGACCUGCCACUCUGGGAUGAUCCCGCGUCCGAUUAGCUAGUUGGUAGGGUAAUGGCCUACCAAGGCUCCGAUCGGUAGCUGGUCUGAGAGGAUGGUCAGCCACACUGGGACUGAGAUACGGUCCAGACUCCUACGGGAGGCAGCAGUCGAGAGGCUUCGGCAAUGGGCGAAAGCCUGACCGAGCGACGCCGCGUGAGCGAUGAAGCCCUUCGGGGUGUAAAGCUCUUUUGUGGGGGAAGAACUGGUGCGACCUAAUACGUCGUACCUUGACGGUACCCUGCGAAAUAAGCUCCGGCUAACUCCGUGCCAGCGGCCGCGGUAAUACGGGGGGAGCAAACGUUGUUCGGAAUCACUGGGCGUAAAGGGCGCGUANGCGGUCCUGUAAGUGGUGUGUGAAUCCGAUGGCUCANCAUCGAGCUGCGCUCNUACUGCAGGACUUGAGUACAGCAAAGGAAAGUGGAAUUCCCNGGUGUACCGGUGAAAUGCGUAAAUUUCNGGGAGGAACCCNGUUGGCGAAGNCGACUUUCUGGGCUGCUACUGACCUGAUGCGCAAA